UACGGAGGAUGCAAGCGUUAUCCGGAAUCAUUGGGCGUAAAGGGUCCUGAGGUGGUUUGCUAAGUCUACUGUGAAAGAUCAGGGCUCAACCCUGAAGAUGCGGUGGAAACUGGCAGGCUAGAAUACGGUAGGGGCAGGGGGAAUUCCCGGUGUAGCGGUGAAAUGCAUAGAUAUCGGGAGGAACACCGAUGGCGAAGGCAGGUCUCUGGGCCGAUACUGACGCUGAGGAGCGAAAGCGUGGGGAGCGAACAGG
rnacentral:rRNA from 1 species